GAACCCAGGAGCAUGCUUAUACAUGCAGAUGGAUGAGCCCCUAACGUGCAAUGGCUCAAACUAACAUACUCGAAAGCUCUGUCCUUGCGCAUGACAAUGGAGAUGAUCUGCAGAAAGCUGAUGGCUUUGAAAACUGAUGACUUUCUAUUAUGGACAACCACCUGUCUACCUGGUGGUUUCCUCAAAAUGAUAUGGCCAUUGCCGCACCAAAUUAUCCAUGUUCAUGCCUACGUGACGUACAUCGGGGGUUGAUGUGUUGUCCAAAUUGCAUGCCGAUGAUGAGUGGGCAGAGGAGUAACACAUGCUGAAAAUUCCAAUGGCUAACAGAAGAUACAAGCAUCAGGGGCCAUGAAGCCCAUGAGGCAUGAGCGGUUUGGGACGUCGACGGCAGCGGUGACACCCAGGCGGCCAGUGUGGCAGAGGAGGAUACUGAUGGGGAUGCGGUGUGAGCUGCCGCGGUUCAGCGGGCUCAUACUGUACGAUGAGCAAGGCCGACGCCUCCAUCUCGGCACUCUAGGCAGAAGAAACCAUCUCCAGUGAUGUUGCAGGGUUGUUUGGCUGAAGCUGGAGACGAAUGUUGCGGAGGCGAGCAACAAAAAUUUGUCGGCGCUAGGAGCGGAGCUGUGGAGAUCGAGGAGAUACUGGCGUCCCGAGCAGCGAUGAAGAAGAUCGAUAGCAGCUCCUAGGUGCUCCUGGGCAGCGAGGAAGAGGAUUAAGCGCAGUUGUGCGUACUGGGUAUCCUAGCGACUACGAAUCGAGGGGACCAAGGGAUUGAGGGCAGCGAUGACCUUGGGAGGAGGAGAAGUAGCUCCCAGGUGUGGAAGCUAGGAAGAGCACUGGCGACCUGGGGAGGGCGAGAAGCAGCGACGAUGUGGAGUCCUUUUCAGUGCCCCCCCCCCCCUUGGACGAGGGAUCGUGGAGGCCUGGGCGGUGGAGUCACCGGCGGAGGCGGAGGGCGAUCGAAAUCUAGGAAGAGCGAUUCUAAAUCUAGGAAGAUAUUGAUUCAAAAUCUAGGUUUGAGAUUAACUGCGGAAGAGUAGCAAGAAGAUCUAAACUUGGAAGCACCUAGAUGUUUAACAAUGUUGUUUUGUUACUACGUUCGAUAUUAUCAUGUUUUAGUACAUUAUGAUAUUUUUGGUUUGUUUUGAAUUUUUAUAGUGAGUUCGAAGUAAUAUAUGUGCUUUGAGAAA